UCUCUUGAGAGCGGCGGACGGGUGAGUAAUGCCUAGGAAUCUGCCUGGUAGUGGGGGAUAACGUUCGGAAACGGACGCUAAUACCGCAUACGUCCUACGGGAGAAAGCAGGGGACCUUCNNGCCUUGCGCUAUCAGAUGAGCCUAGGUCGGAUUAACUAGUUGGUGGGGUAAUGGCUCACCAAGGCGACGAUCCGUAACUGGUCUGAGAGGAUGAUCAGUCACACUGGAACUGAGACACGAUCCAGACUCCUACGGGAGGCAGCAGUGGGGAAUAUUGGACAAUGGACGAAAGCCUGAUCCAGCCAUGCCACGUGUGUGAAGAAGGUCUUCGGAUUGUAAAGCACUUUAAGUUGGGAGGAAGGGCUGUUACCUAAUACGUGAUGGUCUUGACGUUACCGACAGAAUAAGCACCGGCUAACUCUGUGCCAGCAGCCGCGGUAAUACAGAGGGUGCAAGCGUUAAUCGGAAUUACUGGGCGUAAAGCGCGCGUAGGUGGUUUGUUAAGUUGGAUGUGAAAUCCCCGGGCUCAACCUGGGAACUGCAUUCAAAACUGACUGACUAGAGUAUGGUAGAGGGUGGUGGAAUUUCCUGUGUAGCGGUGAAAUGCGUAGAUAUAGGAAGGAACACCAGUGGCGAAGGCGACCACCUGGACUGAUACUGACACUGAGGUGCGAAAGCGUGGGGAGCAAACAGGAUUAGAUACCCUGGUAGUCCACGCCGUANACGAUGUCAACUAGCCGUUGGGAGCCUUGAGCUCUUAGUGGCGCAGCUAACGCAUUAAGUUGACCGCCUGGGGAGUACGGCCGCAAGGUUAAAACUCAAAUGAAUUGACGGNNNCCCGCACAAGCGGUGGAGCAUGCGGUUUAA
rnacentral:rRNA from 1 species